GUUAAUGAAGGAUUUAAGGUGAAUACACAAACUCAUCUAGUUCCGGUGCUGGCAACAUCUGUUAAGGUAAUGGUGUGUACAAAGUGAUGAAGUUGUUCGGCAAAAAAUGUUAUGAAUCUGGAUUCUGAUUGUUUAGUUUGGUGCAACGAAGAAGGGUGACAUAACUUGUGAGACAUGUCAUUAGAUAAGAUGGCAUUGAAAUUGAAGCAAUUGCAGUCUAAGGCAGGUCAGGCAUCAGAAUUUUUGUCAAAGCAUGGAAGUGCUUACUACAAGCAGCUGAUGGAGCAAAACAAGCAAUAUGUUCAAGAGCCAGCGACUGUUGAGAAAUGCAAUGAGUUGUCUAAACCAUAG